GACGUAGGGCGCGAGCGUUGUCCGGAUUUAUUGGGCGUAAAGAGCUCGUAGGCGGCUUGUCGCGUCGACCGUGAAAACUCGCAGCUCAACUGCGAGCCUGCGGUCGAUACGGGCAGGCUAGAGUUCGGUAGGGGAGACUGGAAUUCCUGGUGUAGCGGUGAAAUGCGCAGAUAUCAGGAAGAACACCCGUGGCGAAAGCGGCUCUCUGGAACGGUACUGACGCUGAGACGCGAAAGCGUGGGGAGCGAACAGG
rnacentral:rRNA from 1 species